GACAGAGGUGCCAAGCGUUAGGCGGAAUCACUGGGCUUAAAGCGUGUGUAGGCGGAUCGUUAAGUACCUUGUGAAAUCCCACGGCUUAGCCGUGGAACGGCUGGGUAUACUGGCGAUCUUGAGCCACCUAGGGGCGAGCGGAACAAAUGGUGGAGCGGUGAAAUGCGUAGAUAUCAUUUGGAACGCCAACGGUGAAAACAGCUCGCUGGGGGUGUGCUGACGCUGAGACACGAAAGCCAGGGGAGCGAACGGG
rnacentral:rRNA from 1 species